AGAGUUUGAUCCUGGCUCAGGAUGAACGCUAGCGGCAGGCUUAAUACAUGCAAGUCGUGGGGCAGCAUGACUGUAGCAAUACAGUUGAUGGCGACCGGCAAACGGGUGCGGAACACGUACACAACCUUCCUUUUAGUGGAGAAUAGCCCAGGGAAACUUGGAUUAAUACUCCGUAACAUAUAGAAGUGGCAUCACUUUUAUAUUAUAGGAGCAAUGCGCUAGAAGAUGGGGUGGGCGGCUGAUUAGAUAGUUGGCCGGGGGUAACGGCCCAACCAAGUCGACGAUCAGUAACUGGGUGUGAAGAGCACGACCAGUCACCCCGGGCACUGGAAAACCGGGCCCGAACUCCUACCGGGAAGGGAGCAGUAAGGAAUUAUUGGUCCAUGGGACCCCAGUCCUGAAACAGCCCAUGCCCCGUGGGAAGAUGAAAGUCCCCCUGGAUUGGGAAACUUCUUUUUAUUUUGGAAAAAAUCCCUUUUUUUUCUUAAAAUGGGUGACGGGAACCAGAUUAAUUAACCCCGGGCUAAAUCCCUGGCCCACCAACCGCGGGGAUACCGGGGGGUGGACGCGGUUAUUCCCGAUUCUCUCGGGUUUUAAAGGGGGCGUAAGUGGGCAAGUAAAUCACUGGGUGAAAUCUCCCGGCUUUAUCCCCGGAGACUGCCACUGAUACUAUUUGUCUUGAAUAACAGUGGGAGGUCAGCGGGAAUAUGUCAUGUAUCGGUGAAAUGGCGUAUAUAUUGACAUAGAACACCACGUCGGAGGGCGGCGGCUCUCUCACUAAUUAUGACAUAGGCCAGAAGCGUGGGUCUCAACAGAAUUGAUCCCUUGAUAGUCCACGCCUUAAACUAGGAUACUCGACAUUUGCGAUAAACUGCAAGUGUUUGAGCGAACGCCAUUAAGUAUCCCACUGGGAAGUCCGAUCGCAAAGAUGAAACUCAAAGAAUUGGCCGGGGUUCCGCACAAGCCGUGGAGCAUGUGUUUAAUUUCGAUGAAUACGCGAGGAACUUUACCUUGGCUAGAAAUGUCAAGUGGACCGUGGGUGAAAAGCUCCAUUUUGUUAGCAAUACCACCGCUGAUAAAGGUGUUGCAUGGCUGUCGUCAGCUUCGUGCCCUGAGGUGUUGGGUUUAAGUCCCGCAACGAGCGCAACCCCCCAUCACUAGUUGCCAUCAGGUAACGCUGGGAACUCUAGUGAAACUGCCGUCGUAAGACGUGAGGAAGGAGGGGAUGAUGUCAAGUCAUCAUGGCCUUUAUGCCCAGGGCUACACACGUGCUACAAUGGAGUGGACAAAGGGCUGCAACAUAGUGAUAUGAAGCUAAUCCCAAAAACCACUUCUCAGUUCAGAUUGGAGUCUGCAACUCGACUCCAUGAAGCUGGAAUCGCUAGUAAUCGUAGAUCAGCAACGCUACGGUGAAUACGUUCCCGGACCUUGCACACACCGCCCGUCAAGCCAUGGAAGCUGGGUGUACCUAAAGUCGGUAACCGUAAGGAGCCGCCUAGGGUAAAACUAGUGACUGGGGCUAAGUCGUAACAAGGUAACC
rnacentral:rRNA from 1 species